AUUGGACGCUGGCGGCAGGCCUAACACAUGCAAGUCGAACGGUAGCACAGAGAGCUUGCUCUCGGGUGACGAGUGGCGGACGGGUGAGUAAUGUCUGGGAAACUGCCCGAUGGAGGGGGAUAACUACUGGAAACGGUAGCUAAUACCGCAUAACGUCGCAAGACCAAAGUGGGGGACCUUCGGGCCUCACACCAUCGGAUGUGCCCAGAUGGGAUUAGCUAGUAGGUGGGGUAAUGGCUCACCUAGGCGACGACCCCUAGCUGGUCUGAGAGGAGGAACAGCCACCCUGGAACUGAGACACGGUCCAGACUCCUACGGGAGGCAGCAGUGGGGAAUAUUGCACAAUAGGCGCAAGCCUGAUGCAGCCAGGCCGCGUGUAUGAAGAAGGCCUUCGGGUUGUAAAGUACUUUCAGCGGGGAGGAAGGCGGUGAAGUUAAUAGCUUCACCGAUUGACGUUACCCGCAGAAGAAGCACCGGCUAACUCCGUGCCAGCAGCCGCCGCAG
rnacentral:rRNA from 1 species